CGCGUAGGCGGCGGACCUUGUCGAGUGUGAAAGCCCCGGGCUCAACCUGGGAGGUGCGCUCGAGACGGGUUCGCUGGAGUUCGGGAGAGGAGAGUGGAAUUCCCAGUGUAGAGGUGAAAUUCGUAGAUAUUGGGAAGAACACCGGUGGCGAAGGCGGCUCUCUGGACCGAGACUGACGCUGAGGCGCGAAAGCGUGGGGAGCAAACAGGAUUAGAUACCCUGGUAGUCCACGCUGUAAACGAUGUGUGCUAGACGUUGGGGAGCGUAGCUCUUCGGUGUCGCCGCAAACGCUUUAAGCACACCGCCUGGGGAGUACGGCCGCAAGGUUAAA
rnacentral:rRNA from 1 species